GACGAACGCUGGCGGCGUGCUUAACACAUGCAAGUCGAGCGAACAGGCGCUGCUCUUGUUCGUUUCUCGUUAGCCGCACACGGGUGAGUCACACGUGGAUCACCCCCCUAUAUGACUGGGAUCAUUUCGGGACUGGGGAGCUUACACCGGAUGAUCUCUUGCAACGUAUGGUGCGAUAGUGAGUUGCGGUUUUGGUGUCUAUUCUCGAUGCAUCUGCGCCGCAUUGGCUGGUUGGGACGGUAACGGCUUACCAAGGCUACUAUGCGUAACCGACGGGAGAGAGUGAUCGCCCACCUUGGAACUGAGACACGGUCCAGGCUACUGCGGGAGGGAGCAGUAGGGAAUCUGCCGCAAUGGUCGAAAGCCUGACGGAGCAACGCCGCGUGAGUUAUGAAGGUCUCCGGAUCGUAAAACUCUGUUAUUAGGGAAGAACAAAUGUGUAAGUAACUAUGCACGUCUUGACGGUACCUAAUCAGAAAGCCACGGCUAACUACGUG
rnacentral:rRNA from 1 species